UACCUGCAGGAGGGUGGACUCUGCUGGCUGGGGCUGGGGCUGAUGUGGGUGUGAGUCUGACUCUGUCCUCCUCUUCACACUCGCCAGUGCUUCCUCCCACCCUCAUGGUUCUUACCUUUAGGAUGCAGGAGGGUGGACUCUGCUGGCUGGGGCUGAUGCUAAUGUGGGUGUGGGUGUGGGUCUGACUCUGUCCUCCUCUCCUCUUCACACUCCCCGGUGCUUCCUCCCGCGCGGGUGUUAGCUGGGAGGAAGUGAGCUCACUUCCUCCCAGCAGUGCCACGAUCCUUAAAGGGGCCCAGACUAGCUAUUAAAAAUCUGCAGCACUGAUCGGGCCCCUUUAGAGAUAUGCCCAUCGGGUGGUCUUAAGUGCAUGGGCCACCUGAUGGGCCCCCUCAGAUAGUUAUGCCACUGCCAAAACACAUACAUAUAGCGAUAAACGCUAUAUAUAUGUAUGCACAUUGGGAAUGGGGGGGCCUGGGUGCCUGGGCCCCCCAGGACCGCCGGGCCCAUGACAACAGUCAUGGUUGUCACCCCCUGAUGGCGGCCCUGA